ACUAUGAGAGAAUACAGGGUCUAAUCUCCAGUGUACAUGUCAAAAAGGGGAAUGGGCUGCAGCAUCUAGAGAGGAGACCAUCCUGUAGACCCAUCCUGUUGUUUUACAAAGUGUGGGAAACCACUGAUGAGGUAGGUGUGUUUUGGGUGGAGAAGGAAAGGCAGGGUAGAAGAGAGCGGAAUCCAGCCAGGCAGCCCCCAAUGGAAGAAUAUUCAACUCUAGCUCAACGUGGGGAAGGUAAUGACUUUGAUCCUUCCAGUUACCUUUUCUAGAGGGAAUAUGGAAAGAAUCCAGAGUGGACAAGGGCAGCCUCACAUUAGGACCCCAUCCAAUGGGCAUAUCUGUCACUUUCCAGCACACCAGGACUCUAGGGCGCCAGGAUGGGCAUAGCUGUGGCAGAGGUGAGAGGCAGCCUGUGGGAGGCUGUGAGCCCAGGUGGCCACCUGGUCCUUAUAGCCAUGAGGUUUGCAGGCAGUGCCUCAAGCAUCACAGCAGCUGCAGUGCAGGCACCUGGCUGUGGACAACCUCAUGGGGGUGGCGAGCAGGUGGCCCAAGGUGCCAGGGCCAGCAUGGCAUCCGCAGGGUCAGCUAGUCUUCAGUGCUGCCAAGAAGAGUUUAUGAGCUGCCUCUCCUCUGCUACCAGGAAACAGCCUGAUGGGGUGCGUAGGGACUGAAGUUUCCACAAUUAGCUGGAGGAAGAGGAGAUCUUGAGAAACAGUGGUAAUUUCGCUGUAAUUGUAUGUGUGCCACUCCCCGGCCCUGAAGGGCAUGAGCAAGAAAGACUGAAAGUUGUGAAAUGUACCAGGGAAGACACUGCGGUUCUGUGGUGACGGUGAAAAUGAACGUCUCAAAAGCUGGGUGAUGGCUCAGCUGGACCCAGCAUGUUAGCAACCCGUGUUUGAACAGAAGGAAAUGAAAAAUAAAGUAGAAGGACAAGGGAAGGAAAUUGGGAUCUCUUUUCAUGGAGGCACAGAAUGAAAUGAGGUCUCACCAUAUUGCCCAGGCUGGAGUGCAGUGGCUAUUCACAGGCACGAGCACAGCAUGCUACAGUCUCAAGCCUCCCGAGUAGCUAGGACUACAGAGAAAGGGGCUCACUGUGUCACCCAGGCUGGAAUGCAGUGGCACAAUCACAGCUCCCUGCAGCCUCAAACUCCUGGGAUCAAGCAAUCCUCCCCACUGAGCCUCCGGAGUAGCUGGGACUACAGGUGAGUGUGAUCAUGCCGGGCUAAUUUUCUUUUUCUUUUUGUAGAGACAGGGUCUCAUUGUGUUGCCCAGGCUGAUCUUGAACUUCUGGGCUCAAGCGAUCCUCCUGCCCUGGCCUCACAAAGUGCUGGGAUCACAAGCAUGAGCCACUGCGCCCAGCCUGGGAUUUUUUUAAAGGCAGUGAAACUAUUCUGCAUGAUUCUGUGGUGGUGGAUACAUGACAUUAUGCAUUUGCCAAAACCACAGAAGUUCUCCACACUAAGUUCUCCACACUCAAUGCAUGCAAGCAUAUCAGCUGCAGAGCCAUGCCUCAGGGGACCGACCCCAGCCAGAACCCUCUGAAACUCUCUCCACUCCAGUGGCCCCAUGAUGCCUGUGGCCUCCAUCUCCACCUUUGAUUCUCUCCAUGGGCUCCUUUGUCCCAGGCUCACUGUUUAGCCUCUUCUCUGCCUCCUGGGUCUGCUUUAUGAGUGGCCUCAUAUCUGUGGUCCCGUGGCUGCUGUUCACUACCUUCCUUCCGCGGCUCUCAGCUUCUUUUCCUGCUGCUGGCUCCAUCUACCAAGGCAGAUGUGAUUGACUUGGCUGGUCCCUCACCAUGAGCUCCAUCUCGGGGGGCUGGCCAUGCACCUAGACUGGCUUGCCUUUGGCUCAUGUAGAAGCAGGAUGAUGAGAUCCACAGCAAGCCCACCCAUGCCUAAGAGCUUGCUUCUGGUCACCCUUGCACCCUUGGAGGGACAGGCACUUCUCAUGACCUUUACAACCCAGAAUAACAUCCCCCUGGGAAAUGUCCUAACACUACUCCUCGUCUCCCACAACUGAGAGUUCUAUGCUUCUCCUGUCAUGGUAGAGUAGUGCCCUCUUGUCCAAGGUUUUGCUUUCUGCAGUGUCAGUUACCCAUGGUCACCUGCAUCUGAAAGUACUAAAUGGAAAAUCACAGACAUAAAGACUUUGUAAGUUUUAAAUUGCAUGCUGUUCUGAGUUCUGAAAUCUGCCAUUCGCUCUGUCCUACCUGGGACAUGAAUCAUCCUUUCGUCCAGCAUCUCCACGUUGUAGACGUUCCUAUCCCUUAGUCACUUAGUUAGUGACUUAGUCAUCUCAGUUACCGGAUAGAAAAAAUAUAGUAUAUAUAGGGUUUGGAACUAUCCAAGGUUUCAGGCAUCCAUUGGAAGUCUCGGAACAUAUUCCCCAUGGAGAAGGGGGAAUGACUGUGCUUACAAGGCUGUGUUGUUCUUGCUUCUUUUCUUAUUUGUCUCCCUCUCCAGACUGUAAGCCCCUUGUAUUCAUUUACUAAGGCUGCCAUAAAAACAUGCCACAGGCUGGGUAGUCUAAACAGAAAUUUAUUCCUCACAGUUGUGGAAGGUAGAAGUCCAAGAUCAAGGUAUCCCCAGGGUUGAUUUUUUCGAAGGCCUCCCUCCUUGGCUUAUAGAUGGCCAUCUUCGCCAGGUGUCUUCACAUGUGUGCACGUCUCUGGCUUCAUCUCCUCUUCUUAUGACAUCAGUUAUAGUGGAUUAGGGCCCACUCAUAUGAUUUCACCUUAAUCACUUCUUUAAAGGCCCUGUCUCCACAUACGGUCACACUGUGAGGUACUGAGGGUUAGGACCUCAACAAAGGCAAAAACCAGGUGCUAUGAAUUUUUUUUUUUUUUUUUUGAG
rnacentral:lncRNA from 1 species